GAGUGGGGAAUAACUUCGGGAAACCGAGGCUAAUACCGCAUAAUACCCACGGGUCAAAGGAGCAAUUCGCUUGAGGAGGAGGUCGCGGCCGAUUAGUUAGUUGGCGGGGUAAUGGCCCCACCAAGACGGUGAUCGGUAUCCGGCCUGAGAGGGCGCACGGACACACUGGAACUGAAACACGGUCCAGACUCCUACGGGAGGCAGCAGUGGGGAAUUUUGCGCAAUGGGGGAAACCCUGACGCAGCAACGCCGCGUGGAGGAUGAAGUCUCUUGGGACGUAAACUCCUUUCGAUCGGGACGAUUAUGACGGUACCGGAAGAAGAAGCCCCGGCUAACUCCGUG
rnacentral:rRNA from 1 species